UGGUCUGACGGUUAAUUAUAGCGAUGAUUGUUUCGGUGUUUCUUCGUAAACGAUCUCGAAGAGGGAUGAAUUGAGAAGCGAAUCGGCGUCGCGUUUCUUUACUAAGGUAUUGAUUUAUAAAUUAUUCUGCAAUUUUCGCAUUCUUGAAUCUUGAUAAUCCAAGAAGCUUCUGCAAUUUUCGUAUUCUUGAAAACCCUAAAAGAAAGUUGUAUGAUAU
rnacentral:lncRNA from 1 species